rnacentral:rRNA from 1 species
AUAUCAGUAAGCGGAGGAAAAGAAACCAACAGGGGUUACCCUAGUAACGGCGAGUGAAGCGGUAACAGCUCAAAUUUGAAAUCUGGCCCUCCCGGGUCCGAGUUGUAAUUUGUAGAGGAUGUUUCGGGCAAGGCCAUCGUUUAAUUUUCUUGGAACAGAAAGUCAUAGAGGGUGAGAGUCCCGUCUGGAACGCUGGCCGCGUCCAUGUGAAACUCCCUCGACGAGUCGAGUUGUUUGGGAAUGCAGCUCAAAAUGGGUGGUAAAUUUCAUCUAAAGCUAAAUAUUGGCCAGAGACCGAUAGCGCACAAGUA